GACGAACGCUGGCGGCGUGCCUAAUACAUGCAAGUCGAACGCUUCUUUCCUCCCGAGUGCUUGCACUCAAUUGGAAAGAGGAGUGGCGGACGGGUGAGUAACACGUGGGUAACCUACCCAUCAGAGGGGGAUAACACUUGGAAGCAGGUGCUAAUACCGCAUAACAGUUUAUGCCGCAUGGCAUAAGAGUGAAAGGCGCUUUCGGGUGUCGCUGAUGGAUGGACCCGCGGUGCAUUAGCUAGUUGGUGAGGUAACGGCUCACCAAGGCCACGAUGCAUAGCCGACCUGAGAGGGUGAUCGGCCACACUGGGACUGAGACACGGCCCAGACUCCUACGGGAGGCAGCAGUAGGGAAUCUUCGGCAAUGGACGAAAGUCUGACCGAGCAACGCCGCGUGAGUGAAGAAGGUUUUCGGAUCGUAAAACUCUGUUGUUAGAGAAGAACAAGGACGUUAGUAACUGAACGUCCCCUGACGGUAUCUAACCAGAAAGCCACGGCUAACUACGUG
rnacentral:rRNA from 1 species